rnacentral:misc_RNA from 1 species
CGACUGCACCAAAGGCGCCAAAAUUCUGCUGUUGGAGAUGCAAAUGAUUGUUUUGGAAAGUCUUAGUGCCUUUUGAAGUGUCAUUAUUUUUAUCUGGGUUAGAGAUAAUUGAAGAGAGGCAUUCUGAAUCGAUACGAAUGAGUUGGUCUAGUGUGGGUUUUUGAUCUGUUGAGGAAGGAUUUGGAUGAGGCCGGCCAUUAUUGUCUUCAAGAUCAGUAACCCCAUCAGAAGAGGAGAUGUUGUUGUCUUGCUCCUUUGUUUCUUCUAAGUACAUUUCUUCCACCAUGGGUUUCCACAGCCUAACUCGUGCAUUGAUGAACCAAUUGGAUACCUGGCUUCUUGAGAGGCCAGUUUGGCGGGCUAAGAUAUGUUUAUCAACAUCACUUGGGUACGGGUGGAGAAAAUGCUCGAAUAGCCAAGCUCGAAGAACAGACACAGAUCUUUCUGGU